rnacentral:rRNA from 1 species
AUGGAAGUUCCUUUUGGUGACAUUCCUCUUUUCCUGGAGCCUAAUGAACAAGUCAGGAAUUAUGCCAUUCGUGCAAGUCGUCGCGCAGCUGGUGCCAAGGUGUCAUGGACUACCAACAUUCUGCCCCUGUCUGAAGUGUCAGACGAUAUCAUGAAUGAUAAGUUUUUCGUUGAGACCAUUUUCCGCAACCACAAUGGAGGGACAAGAAGAUUCUCUUUUAUUCUCAAUGGAGGUUCUACCAUUGACCAUGUGGAUUCGUCUGUCAAAUCUAAUAUUCGUCCCUUGUUGAACAAGCAAUUGGUCAAAACUCUGCCUGCAACGACUACUGAACUCUAUUUUUGUCUAUCUGAAUUUUGUCAUGUAUGA